rnacentral:lncRNA from 1 species
AUCCCGCAGGUACAACUCAGAGUAGACACCGACAGGCCGGCCUUCCUCCGAUCUACACCUCCACUAUAUCUCUCUCAAUCUAGUAGAAACUAGAAGAUCUAUUUCUACUUACAUUGGUUGCUAAGCCUAAAAAGAAAUAUUAUUUAGAGAAGAGGUUUUCCUUCGAGGGCACCCCUCAAUCUCUAUGAUAAUUUCUUGUCUUCUCCAGGGGCCAGGGGCCUUGCUUAUAUAGUCCUCCUCCUCUGUGCGUUUUUGGUUCAGCAGGCGAUGUGGUACUAAACUUUCCACCAUAUCUCAUUAAAAUGCACAUAGGCCUUAAUGGACCAAAAUCUGAUUUGGGCCCAAUUAAUCCCGCAGCUCUUUUAUGUGGAGUCCUUCUUUUAUUAAUAUCUCUUGAUUCCGAACUCCAAAUAUAGCAAAUAAUAUAUGCAUUUCGAUCAGCUCGACGAGAUCUUUGCAAUGGUGUACUCCAUUCUGUGAUUGGUGGAAACACCUGGGCGGGCGCCCAAGGGGAGAGGGCGGGCGCCCUGCCCCCGGGCCCGUUCGGCCUCCCGUUCGUUCCCGUGGUUUCUGGACUCUUCUAGAUGAUAGAAAAUUACGCGGUGCGUUGAUAUCUCUAUGUAAUCCCGACAUGUGGGCCUUUCUUCCUUAUUUCCUGAUAACCCCCUGCAGAAAUAGACAAACACCAAAACUCGUGGAAUUCUGUCAGAUAAAACCCUAAGUCUAGAUGUUGAUUUCAUUUGGAUCCUUUUCUUUGUUUAUUUGAUAAUUAAAUUUAAUACUUAAGGACCGUCAACAACUCCCCCAAGCUUACCUCUUGCUCGUCCCUGAGCAAGGAUGAACUCAGGAGUUUUUGCAGUGGUUUCAUGCCUUAAAAGUACACACGCAUUCAAGCAAGAUCUCAUCUCUGAGUUAGAAUAAACUGUUAGGACUUAAAACUUACUCAUUUUACCUUUCACCAUGGGGCUUGUAACCGUUACUUGUGUCUUGAGCAGUUAAAAGAUAGAACGGUCAAGUCAAGCGCCAUGUCUCUUAUUCUCGAUCAACUAUAGCUCUGGGGUUUUUGCAGAUUUUCAAAUAAAACUCAGAGAUUCCUUGUAUGACUCUCUCAGAUCUCUCUUUUGUGGUAUUUCUGGAUCCUUUCCAAGGCAGUAAUAGUAUAUGCCUUCUCUCAAAGUAUGUAGUAUUUGUGGUAUGAGGCAUAGUGAUAUUGCCUUCUCUCUCACCCUACUCUAAUAAGGUUUUGAUAUCUGGAGCUCAUAGGUGGGAGACAGCUAAUACAUACUUACAAGACAUUUAUUGCAUAGUCAAACCAUGGAUCCAGAUAAUCAAGUCAAUAAGUCAAAUCAAGAUGUGCAUGUGUGGCGAAUGAAUGGGGUAUGGUGAUAAUGGUGAAAACAAUGGUGAAAGUCUAAUUCUACUUUUGCUCUUUUAAGGGGAUACAUAUCUUUCUUGCACUUUGAAGCUUUUUGAGGAGAAUGAGAUGCUCUAUAUUUUCUUUUUCUUUCCUCUCGGGUGGGUAUCUUGUACCCCUAAUUCUACUGUCGGACACUUAUCCAUUUUUACCUCUCGUCUCACUUUUUCUUUUCUUCGAGGUUCCGGGCACUUGCCCCUUUUUAUUUCCUCGUAUUUUUCCUCUUCUUUUUUUUUGGAGCACUCAUCUCCUUAAAUAAUAUAGCAAGUGGUAGUAACCAAGAUAACUUGAGCAUUAAUUUCACAGGGAAUAACAGGGAUAGGAAAAUGUUUUUAGCUAUUCUCUCCCAGAUUAGGAGUAGAAUAAUUUCAGGUGAAUGUGGAGAUGGAAAUGAGUGGAUAUAUAUGUGGAUGGUACUUCUGGAGUAGAAGUAGCAUGUAUGAGUGAACGUGCAAGUGAAUCUUGAUUUUAACCACAUGACAAGCUCCUAAGGGUCUACACAGCUUGACCACACUCAAUGCUCAUAAGCAGUAAAAAGUAAAUAUGUGGCUCAAAGUCUAGCAAGCAUGUAUAUAUAGGUGUGGUAGGAAUUUAAACUCUCAUCAUAUAGGAACUCAUCAUGUGUUAUUUUAAAGAUUUUCAAAGAUAAAAUUCUCCAGAAUUCUAGCAUCUCUAGGAACUGAUAAAUAGCAGCUCAACCUUCCCAUAUCAUAUCCGUUAACGACUUAGACUUUAGAUCAAGUACUCUUCCCACAAGUUCAGGUUUAGAGAAAAUCUUAAUUCAUAACAGUCAUGCCUAAACUUGAGAGAGAAUUCAAUUUUUGAGAACUAGUCAUGGCAGAGCAACUAUUCAUUAUUUCCAUGUGAGAGCUUAUCAUGAGGGUUUAUAGCAAACUUUAUUUAUUUAUUUAUUUAGCAAACUAAGCAAAGAUAUAAAAGCACAAAAUCUUUAUUUGGGUUUUUAUGAUUAUGCAUCUCUUUAUUAUUUGAGUAAAGUAUAAACGCAAGUAGAAACACUUAGCUGGAUAAAUGGGGGUGCUCUCCCCCAAGCUGGGUUUUGACGUAAUUUCUUCUGAUGUAGCUAGCAGGUGGUAGAGGUGUAUUUGAAAGUCAGCAGCAUUCUGACAGCGAUUAGAAUGUCCUCCGUCUCCUAGUCUUCUUGAUUCUUAAAUUAUGUAGAGCUCAAAUAGACAACAAAGCUUUGUGGAACUGGUUAAGUGUUAGCAUAAAUAUCUAGCCUUUAUCAUGUUGAGCCUCCUCAAUAAAUAUUACUUAUUUAGCAGGAUCAUGCACUUAUUAUUUUUUAUAUUUUUAUUGUAAGAUGAAAACUUAUUUAUUUUAUUUUUAUGCCACCACAGUGAAUGUACUUAUGGGUUUUAUGCCAUGAGCAUACUCACAUGGGGCUUACUAUGUUUUGUUUUUUUAACAUUUUUAUUUUCUUUUUAAGAUAGCAUGAACCUGAUUAACUAAGCAAACUAUUGAAUGGAAAAGGAUAACUACCAAGUUUACCUCUUGGCAAGGCGUUCGGUAUUUUUAAGUCCUCCGAACGGGACUCUCCGUUUUCUCAGUCGUCCUGGGAUUCGCUAGGUGGCGUAGUCGGUGGUUCCGGCGGCGCCUCCUCUUCGUGUAUAACUAUCUUCUCCCUCCACACCUGACUCGGUGCUACGGUCUCCUCAGGACAAUUCUGUUCAAGUUGUAUGUCUUAAGACCUUAUCACUUCUCCUUCGUAGACUACCCAUCCGUCCUUGAUGAUUUGCCUCCUCUGGUUGCGGUUGCGUUAUCUUCUUCUUGUACUGACCUACUUAGAGUCUUCAACUAUAUAGUUAGAAUCAUUAAAGUAGUGGCGUACCUUCUCAGAGGGGAAAUACACGUGGACUUCUCCGGUUCCAAUGUAGAUGAUAACUUUGAUAGUGUUGAGGAAUGGUCUUCCAAGGAUGAUGGGUGGAUCAUACUCGUCUUCCCAUGUCAAUGACCUGAAAAUUGUCUGGAGCUGAAUGUAUCUUGGUUGUAGGAGCAUGGUUCCAUGCAGGAGCUGAUAAGUGACUGUGGCCAUUAUGUUGUCGUCAGAUCCGGUGUCGUAGAGUGUCUUCUAAAAAGAGUAUCCAUUGAUUGUGCACUCGAUGCUUGGAACACCAGGGUCAUCCUUCUUGAUCAAGAAAGGUGACUUGAGUCGACGAUCUUGACCUCCUUGAGUUGCAGUGACCAUCUUAGUUGACUCGGUCCACAUUUGAUUGUUCCUGUUCCUCCUGUUGGUCCUCUUCCUUGGUUCAUGUUGGGAUUGCUCUGAAGUUUGUGUAGUCUUGUUCUUGAAGGAAAGUCUCCUUCUUCCCCUUGAUGUAGGAACUGAUCUUGGCAGCAUUAGCGUAGAUGACAGCUCUGGUGUUUAGGAAUGGCCUCCCUAAGAUGAUGGGUGCCCUCUCCUCAGUACCAGUCUCUAUCACCACGAAGUUUGCUGGAGCGUACAAGGUACCAACUCGGACACAGAGGUUCUUCAAUAUUUCCUUUGGGAAACUAAGUGUCUGAUUUCCAUUGUGUUUGUGCUCGUAGAUCAAGGUCCUUCACUUAGUGGAGUCUGGGAGUUGUAAAACUCCUCCGUGUUUUGCUUGAAGUGUACCUAUUCAUAGAGACAAGGCAGAGAUCAAUUGCAUAGGCCGUGUUGGUGGAAAACACCAACAGAACCGGAAGUGUAAUUGUUCUUCUCUAACCUUAAGCAUAGUGAGCAAGACAAAGUUGAUGGAUAAUAAGAUCAUGAGUGUAGUAUUUAAAACAUUUGUCAGAUCAGAUUGAUCGACCUAAAUGUAAAGAUAAUCUAUCUAUGUAUAUGUCUUUUUUCUUUAUAUCUUCCCAAAGAUUGAAUGUGCAACAUUUUAACUUAUAUGAUUGGGAGUGUGAGAUCACGAAGGUAGUACUAAAAACAAAGAUUAAAGGACUAAACAUGUUGAAUUAGUUGAGUUGGUUAAUUUGGAGCUACAAAUCAUACAUGUUUGUCUCUUUUAUUCAUGUGUAUGCCAGAACCAAGGAGAAGCUUAUAAAAGUGAUAGUCACAUAUCUUAAGAUGUUACCUUAAUUGAAGAGUGAUGGUACCAUCUCACCUUGUGGAAGCUUCCCAUUCGUAGUGGUUGUGUAUCUUGUUUAUGUACUUUGUGUCCUUCCAUGGAUCAUCUCUCUAUGAUGAAUGAGCUAUGUCCUUCUUGUGCAAAUUGUUAAACUUCAUGUGUCACUCUCUUCAUCUCCAAUGUGAGUUUAUCUCAGGACUUCCCAGGUUCAUAUUGAAAGUUUUUCUGCAGGGGUUAGUCCAACAAAAUAUCCCAUAUCUACUAUAGCAUACUAUCGGCUCAAAAAUCAACCUAGACACCAUGUCUAAUUUGAUUUAGAAGGGCAUUUUAACCUAAGCACCAUGCUUAAUUUAAAAUCCCUUGGAAGUAAGAUCAUCACUCCUAAACUAAGCACCAUGCUUAAUUAAGAGAUAAAUGAAACUAUUCCAAACCUAGACAUAUACUAAAGCAAAUAAAGGUAGCAUGAGAGCAUUUAUAGAGAUCUACUUAAGUGGAGAUGAAGUAGUGUAAUUAGUAUUUAACAAAUUGAGCAUGUCUCAAAGGUAAGGACAACCAACAUAGCAACAUGGCAAAAGAUAUUUUUAUGUAAAGUACUCCCCCAAGCUUGAAUUUUACAAAAUUCAAGCUUGGAUGAAUUUAAUUCAAUGUUGCAUGAUGGUUGGUUGGGCAUACCUUGUACUUGUCAUUCAUCUCAUCUUCUUGCUCCAAUCCUGGAAAGGUUAGUGCCAAGAAUACCCGAAGGGAUAUUUCUACAAUUAUCUUUAUAUGCUCAAUACACAAGGCAAUGUUGCAAAUAAUUAGAAGUGCUUGUUUUAGGACACUAAGCUUGUCCUUGGGAAACCAUCAAUUAACUCAACGAGAUUUGCAAUAUUUAUUAUAGACAUAUGCAUCCACAACCGCUCUUUUAAAGUUUUUAUAAAUAGAAAGGAAGAGGGGGUUGGAGAUCUCAAAUGUGGUAAGGAUGGAGAGACAAAUUGAUUGGAGAGAUGUUUUGUAUGAGCAAGGUCUGGGUGAGGUAUUUAUGAAAUAACUUCCAUGCUCACUGUUGUUUCUCUCAUUCUCAAACUCCAAGGAUGAUUCUUCAUGAAUGCUUAAAAUUCCUCUAGGAUUGUCUCUCAAGUUUGUUUUAUCUACCCAUUCAAUAUUGAUAGCACAUGGAUUUUUAGUGCCCUCUAGCCACCGAUGUUGCUCUUCUCGAUCCUCCUUCUUAUGUAUGGGAUGUCUAGAGAGAUUCAUAGGAUUAUCGGGAGGUUCAAGAGAAAGAGCAUAGUAGAAUUUAUUAAGCUCAAGGAUGGGUUGGAUUACCGAAUUAUGGGAUUGAAAUGUUUGGAAAUCGGCUAUUGAAACUUCCUUUCCUCGUCUGGGAGAUGAUUCCUUCUCUAUCUCUAAGAUUUUUCUAUGAAGAUUAGUGCAAGAAGGAUGUCCACGAAUGAAGACAUACCUUCCUUUACUAAUAGAUAAAGAAAGAAGGACUCUACCAAAGGUUAUAUGAUUAAGACCAAUGUGAAAAUAUCUAGGAAAAACAUGGUCUUGUAGGGCUAGGUCUAAACCAGAAUUUAUAGAAAAAUUAAGAGAUUCCCUAGGUGUAGCUAAAAGUGCAUUAUCUUCUUGAUUAAAAGGUAGGACCUCAGCUAUAGAAAAGGGUUGGUUUUGACCUAUUGCAAUCAACUCCGGACACAGAUCAUAAUUAGGGGCAGGACGUGUUGACUUCCAUGGUCUAUGGCUGGUCUCCGAAGAUGCAAAUAAUUCAAUAAUAGGUAUGGAAUUUAAGUUAUCCAUAAAGAUAAAAAGAUAAAAGAAUAAAAGUAUAAAAGUAUAAUACAAGAUAAUAGCAAGACUCAAAGUUAUCUCAGCAAACCGUCUUUCUCCCCGGCAACGGCGCCAGAAAUGCUUGUUGAUAUUUGGUAACGCAAUUAGAAAACGAUCCGCAAGCGCACGAAUAUCGGUGAGCAUUUCACCUGGGAGGUUAUCCAGAGUUAUCGUAUUUAUAUUUUUACCACUGGGAGAAAAGGGUGCAUCUGACUAACCAAAUCUAUUGCUACUAUCCCUUUAGGCUAAAGAAUGUUUCUCGAUGUGAGCGAUGUAUAGAGAAGACUGCAACCGUAGUCUCGUUCUAACCUUGGUAAGGAUGAUCUACUGUUCUAUUGGGGAAGCUCACGGAAUCUAGACAACACAAAGGAUGUUCGACCCGCACCUAUAGACCUACCCGUCCUGCUAACAAGAUAUGGGAUACAAAGGUAACUCGGAAAUGUCACGUUCCUCGCUACUACCACGGUCUAGCUAGUCAGGGGAUAUUUAUGAGUACCCUAGCCUAAACACCACGUUUACGCUAGCAAGUGAUUACUCUGAUACUCAACCGGAAGAGGAUUAAAGUAAACUCAUAAACCAAAGAACAAUAAAGCAAGAACUUACUAGAAUUAGAAGUCGAAUUACUGAAGAAUCUUAGAAGCAAGCCUCGGGUUAGGAGACUUGAUCCCGCAGGUACAACUCGGAGUAGACACCGACAGGCCGGCCUUCCUCCGAUCUACACCUGCACUCUAUCUCUCUCAAUCUAGUAGAAACUAGAAGAUCUAUUUCUACUUACUUUGGUUGCUAAGCCUAAAAAGAAAUAUUAUUUAGAGAAGAGGUUUUCCUUCGAGGGCACCCCUCAAUCUUUAUGAUAAUUUCUUGUCUUCUCCAGGGGCCAGGGGCCUUGCUUAUAUAGUCCUCCUCCUCUGUGCGUUUUUGGUUCAGCAGGCGAUGUGGUACUAAACUUUCCACCAUAUCUCAUUAAAAUGCACAAAGGCCUUAAUGGACCAAAAUCUGAUUUGGGCCCAAUUAAUCCCGCAGCUCUUUUAUGUGGAGUCCUUCUUUUAUUAAUAUCUCUUGAUUCCGAACUCCAAAUAUAGCAAAUAAUAUAUGCAUUUCGAUCAGCUCGACGAGAUCUUUGCAAUGGUGUACUCCAUUCUGUGAUUGGUGGAAACACCUGGGCGGGCGCCCAAGGGGAGAGGGCGGGCGCCCUGCCCCCGGGCCCGUUCGGCCUCCCGUUCGUUCCCGUGGUUUCUGGACUCUUCUAGAUGAUAGAAAAUUGCGCGGUGCGUUGAUAUCUCUAUGUAAUCCCGACAUGUGGGCCUUUCUUCCUUAUUUCCUGAUAACCCCCUGCAGAAAUAGACAAACACCAAAACUCGUGGAAUUCUGUCAGAUAAAACCCUAAGUCUAGAUGUUGAUUUCAUUUGGAUCCUUUUCUUUGUUUAUUUGAUAAUUAAAUUUGAUACUUAAGGACCGUCAACAGUAAUAUUAUCUUGUAUUUCAUUAUGACUUUUCUCUACAUCAAUAUAUUGCUAUUUAUUUUGUUCUUAGUUUAUUCUAGUUGCAUAUUCGAUAUAGAUGUGGUUUAUGAUGAUUAUCGUUAUAUGAUCGUAAAGCGCCUGAUUCAAUACUCGAGUAAGUCAGGUGGUGCACAUUAUGUAGACAUGGUGUCUAGAUGUAUUGUGUACCUAUGGAGGCACCCUGAUGUGUUGGGUCGUGUGGUAGUCCUUGUAGGUGACAGCUGUGUUGGGUCCUCUGUAGUCCACCCCCGUACGUAGGACUAGCCGAGCGCGUCACGAAGGAGGUAACCCUUGUGUCUUAAAAUCCCCACUAGUUGAUGCUCCUUAUGAUGUUUUCUGAGUUUAUCACACUAUAGAUGAAAAUGUGUAGCAUGGCGUAGGCUGUAGACUUUAUAUUAGUAAUUACAUAGGUUUCUUUUAUUUGAAUAUCAAGAUUGCCUUGCUAUAUUAGUGAUUCUUUAUUCUCUAUCUCUAGAUACCAUUUACUUCGUUACUCAAUUAUUAUUUAUCAAUAUUGUUGACUAGUUAUCGCUAAAGCUUUAAUACUAUUGGUUGUGAUAGAUUUACAUAAUUAUAAUUUCUUUAAUCCUUAUAAGUUUACCUAAGCCUAAUGAAUAGAAUGCUGCUUUAUCCUUUUGGCAUAAAAUAAAUCAAUGAUACUCGGAAUACUUCCUGGGUGAAAUGCUACAAUGGGACAAUUAUCCAUGCGCUUGCGGAUAUAUUCUAUUUAGAGUUAUUGCGUGUAGAUUAUUUUUAUCCUUGGUUUUUAGCAUCAUGUUAGGGAUGACAACUUAAUAUGAAGUGAUGUUAAAAAUAUCAACAGUAGACUAAUAGUGUUUAUGUGAGAUACAUAGGAGAUUAGUCCACAGGUGAUUAUAUGAUGAUGGAGGAGCUCAUUGCAUAUGAGACAUGACAUGGAGUUAUGUGACCAAGGUGGAGAAGAUCAAGAUGAGGCUUGGCUCGAUGGACCGGUUGCAAGAGUGAAUGGCAAGUCGAAGAAUUUGAAGCGUGGGACCGUGUGUUGACGGUGAAGCUUGAGCAAGACUUGGCGCCGAUGGACCAAGGCAAUGGUGAAGAGCAAUUGAGAUCAAGAUGUAUGAACCAAUACAGUGACAUGAUGAUAUGAAGUGGAUCAUAUCAUUUGGUGAUUGGUUGGUGCAUGUGUUGCAUCAACAUUGGAGGAGAUGGAAUGGAAAGCGCAAGGCAAAGGUAUAACCUAGGGCAUUUCCAUUUCAUUGGUCAUAGGUGUGUAGAGAAGUUAACAACCGGAUUUAGGAUAGAUGACCGUACUAUCAAGAGGGGCAAACUUAUUUGCAUAUCGGUCAUCAAGUGCCACUUGAGUGAUCUAACUUUGCAUAUGUGUUAGGAUCAAGUGGCAUGGCAAGUUGAGAGGCUAACUCCUCUGGGAAAAUGUUUGUUAAAAGCUAACACACUUGCACUUGGUGGUAUACACUUGAUGGUGUUAGCACAUUUGCAAAGGAGGAGGAGUUUCUAGGGUAGAGAGGGGUUUGAGUUCCUAGCACAUUCGGUGCUUUUUGAGAAAAUUAAGUGUAUAUUUUUUGAUUGCGCUGGUGGGAAAUUUGGAGAAGUUGCGGACCAAACGCUGGCCUCAGAGGCACUGGACGCUGAUCCUGCGUGUUUGGUGCACUCUCGUUUCUGGCAGAGUUGAAGGAUGCAUCGGACCCUCAGCAUCGGACGCUGGGAAAUUUGGAGAAGUUGCGGACCAAACGCUGGCCUCAGAGGCACUGGACGCUGGCCCCAGAUGCUGUUUGUGCGUCCGGUGGUGCUUGACAUCAGCGGGUGUUUCUAACAGAAAGCAUCAGACAACCAGGAGCACGUCGGUGGUUGCAUCCGGUGACCCUGCGUGUUUUACACCCUCUCUGCGUACGGGUCUGGUGUGGACCAGCAGAGCGUUCGGUGCUACUGGUUCAGGUGCGAGCACGUGUUAGCCAUUGGCGACAACAGUCAUGUUCAAAUGGCUAGUGACAUGUGGCUGUCGUCUGAGCACUGGAUGCUUGGUUCGACGUCUGGUGGCUCCCUGCAGCACGUCCGGUGCCCACGUGUUUUGCCCAGUGCGUGGGCAAUGGCUAUUUCAGCCCAUUAGGCUAUAAAUAGAAGUGGUGGCUGGCCUUGGUUGAUGCUGAGCACCCAUGGGACUUAGUGUCCAUGCUUAGGAAGUGCUAGUGCAGCCCACUAACUCACAUAUGCUUGAUAGUGAUUAUCUAAUUGUGUGAGUGAGCGAUUCUAGUGCAUUGCAUUGAGAGAUUGCAUCGAGUGGCACUAGAUGUUUGUGUUGCAAGCUGAUGGUGCUUGUUACUCUUGGAGGUUGCCACCUUCUAGAUGGCUUGGUGGCUUGUGACUUCGUCGAAGGACGCAAAGAUUGUGCGGUGCUCCGGAAAAGAGAUUGUGAGGGGUACGGUGCUCACCCCGCGGGGAUCAUGAAGAGCAACUCUAGUUGAGCGAGAUGUGAUGGGUGACAAGUGGUCUGGCCGGGUCAAGUGCUAGAGCUAGUGGUAAGCACUCUACGUGGGAGAGUGUUGUAACAGAACCGUCCAAAUUAUAAGAGAUUAAGCCUAAUAGUGACCAUUUGCAUAGUCAAACCAUCGAGCUUAAGCCCAUAUAAUCCCGGUAGUCCGUGAAAUCUUGAAGGAUUUCAAACCACAGAUCGUACAUAUAGCCAAGAUCGUAAUAAGUUCAGCGGUCACCGUUCACAGUUACAUCCAGUUCGAAAACAUUCAUCGAAAACAUCGGAGUGCUUAAAGUUAUUACAAACCAAGUUCACAGGUAGCGGAAGCUUCAUAGUUGAAAAUAACACACACACACACUUAGUCUGAUACAGUGCCAUAGUUUUGGUCAUUCCCACAAAAGCAAAAGAGAAGACGAAGUGACCAUCGCCCUUGGUCUAGUCAUCACCCAUAGCUGGGUAUAGGCAGAGGAUGCAGUAACCAUAGUACAUUUGACCAUCUGCAAAACAACAUGGGAGUAGAACCCUGAGUACGAGAAUGUACUCAGCUAGACUUACCCAUCAUAAACUCAAAAAUAAAGACUCUCCAAGGAUCAUGAAGGCUAUAUAGUGGGGUAAGCUGACGACCUUUGCAUAAAAGCACUCUUUUAUUAACAUAUCCUAAAGGAAUCCUUCUUCUUUUAAUUAGCUCAAUGUUGAAAGUAUCAUUACCUAUUAUCUAGGUUUGCACCUGCACUAUGGCAAUCAAAAUGUAAUAAUAUGAUGGUAUCUCAUCAUAGCAUUCAUGCAAUUAUUCAGCAUAUGACUCAAGUGUUCCAUAGUCCUUACUACGGGGACGAAGCUCAUGUCAAGUGCUCACUGUCCAGGAGCGAUGGAGAUUCGAAUCAUUUCUAACCAGCUGGCGAGUUAUUCCCCACACAAACCACACUCACUGAUCAAGUGAGCUACAGAUCACCGUGUCGCACUAUCCAGGACCAAUUCGUGGGUUCGACAGGCACUGCCCGUACCCGAGGACCGUUCCGGCGACCGAGGUAUCCAAGGUAUACCAAGGUUGCGCGUCGUGCCCUCGUCGUUCUCCUCAACCAUCACCAAUACAGCGCGUACAUCGGGCCGAUUCCCGGCCCGGAUAUUGCUCAGGCUUCACGGUCGGAACGACUUAUCCAUACAGCUAAAUGUGGGGCAUGCGUUCAACAUGACAAGAGGGCCGUCAACGAUCGGUCCUUAAUCGACACAGGCAGGGGCACUAUAGUCAACCCACCAUAAGACCCUGCCCGGUCUCAAAUUUCCAUUCCACACUUGCUUAUUCUCUACCAAAGCAAUCACUGCUUAAUGAAGCAGGUAUCCACCUAUAUCUCACAGGUGACAGGAAAUCACCCGACUUCUACCGGACUAAGCAGGCUAAGCAUAGACUCCGUGCCUAUCUACAUAGGACAAGGUAGAUAAACGAUUAGGGGUAACAAGGAGUACAUAUGCAUAAACGGUAUCAAGCAAUUCCUAUCACAUAAAUGCAACAUAGUAGAACAAGCAUAAUAUAUCAUGUAAGUUAGUGAGAAUAGAGAGACUUAGGAUGCUCCGGGGCUUGCCUUUCUCGAAUGUGCUCGGCUUAUGAUCCGGGCACUCCUGCAGCUCUUCUCCGGGUUCCGGUGCUCCCAGAGGUUCCUGCUCCUGGAUCUCCUCCGGCUCCUCGGGUCCCACUUCGUUCUCCUGCGAGCCUGUAUGGUGCAUGUAUGCUCAUGAGUGCAGUGCGAAAUGCCCGGGGUGCAAUGCUCAUGCGGGAGAAUACGAGAUGACUAUGACAUGCUGCAUGGAUGAUUUAUGUGGUCAUUUACAAGGUAGUCCACAUCAUCCAAGAACAUGCAUUUGAAUUAAUCAUCUAUUGCAUUCUCUUCUACAAAUUGCACUCAAGUGUCACCAGCAACUCUCAAGAUGCUUCAAAGAUACACCAAACCCCUUUCCUUCUAUGUAACCCAUAUAUAAUAAUUCAUAGUUUCUUUAUUUAUUUUUAGACCCCUCAAAUAUAGCAUGCAUUUCUGUUUAUCAAUAAAUUCCACAAAAAUUACAGGAGACUACCAGUCAAGCAUAAAGUCCACUAUAAAUUUUUCAUAAUUUUUGGAUACUUAUUUUGAGGUACAAAAAUCACCAGAUUAAUUAAUAAGGCAAGUAUAAUUAUUCUACUGUGGUACAAGUGUCAAACAGCAGAUUUCAUUUUUUUAUAAUUUGCUUAAUAUCAUAAGAAACACCCACAAAAAUUUCCAAAUAAGUUGCAUGAUCCAAAUAAUUAUUAAAAAUCAUAAACCACUGCCAUGCAAGCCUUUAAAUCACUACAAAUUCAUUUAUACACCAAAUAAUGUGUAGCAAAAUUUUCCCAGUGACUAAACACACAUGCAGAGCCAGCAAAACAAGUUUCACAUUUUUCUGAUUCAUAUUUUAAUUACUAUGCAUUUUCCAAAUCCAGCAAAAACAUGGAUUGAUUAUUUCUGUUCAGAAAAAGUGUUCAAUCUUGACAUGCAAUUACAUCAAACUGUAGAUCUGAGAACAGAGAGCACACCAAAAUUUAUUUCACCAGUUUGGAGCUGUAGAACUCAAGAUAUGGAUUUUACAAGUUUUAAAUCAAUUUGUGGGAAACCUUUAUUUGAGAAAACCGACGGAAAACGCAAGAUUCACCCGGAUCCACACCCGCAGAGGCGCUGACAGGUGGGACCUAGGGGCCGUGACCCCACGAGUCAGUCAAGCAGAGCUCCGGCCAACUCCGGCCGGCUGGCUUUCGCCGACGGCGAGGUCUCCGGCCACGGGGUGAGCACCAGCGUGCUCCCCGCAGCGAGCGCAUCCAGGGGUACCCUCGGACUGGCCGGAGGAUGACCGGAACACCUCCGACGAGCAUGCAUGGCGGCACGGCGGCGCUGCUCACCGUGGCCAGGCCGCUCCGGUGCGGUAGACCCCGCGCAAAAGCUCCUCCGAGCUUCCCCAUCAAGCUACGGACCUAACGCGCUAAAGAGCGAGCGAAACGAGGCAGGAUAUCGCAAGAUCCGUCGCGGCGGAGCACUCCGACGAGGUCGGAGCGACUCCGGCGAGCGAUUCACGGCGCACGGCUGCUUCUCACCUCGGUAGAGCGUACGCAGGGGCUUACCGCAGCGACGGCGAGUGCGCUGGUGCUCUUGGCGUCGAGCUUGGAGCUUUGGUGCGGCCGGCGGCGAGCGGCGGAGCUUUCUUCGGCAAUGGCGCAGGCGGAGCUGCUGCUGCUGCUGUUGCGCGUGGACGGAGGAAGGAGGGAUAGGCGCGGGUGACAGAAUGGAGGGAGUGGUCUGGGGGCGCGGGACGGCGUCCCGACCAGGGGGGUGGAGGUGGUCGGCCGCGGCGCGCCCAACGCCGGCGUACGGCCGCCACGUGGCCGUCGCAAGAUGGGGCGAGGCGGGCGCCGCGCGCGGGAAAGAGGGGAGGGGGAGACAGGCCAGGCUGCUGGCUGGGCCGAAAGGGAGGCGGGUCGGCCGAGCAGCGCCUGUCCCCUUCUCUUUUUUUUUUGAAAUUCUUUUCUCAAAUUCUUUCUAAAUUCAUUUGGACCAUUUAAAAAUCACUUUCACCCUUUUCUCCCAAAAGCAUAGUUGUUCCAAAACAAAAAUCCUACAACUUUGUUUUAAUAAGCAAGACCAAAUUCCGAAUAGAAUUUGAAUUACAAAUUAAAACUAGUUCUAGGUUUUCAAAUAAAUUCAUUUUGGAGAUUUUUGUAUAAAUUCCAGUUCUCAAAUUCUAUGGCUCCAAAAAUUGCACAAAAAUACUCUUAAAUAUUCUUGCACACAAUUCAACCUAGUUUGAAUGUUUCAUAAUUUUAGAAGCAAGCAUCAUAUUUUUACACAUUUAAAAAACAUAGAAUAAAGCACAUAAAAUCUCAUUUUCGAUGGAUAACAUGCUCAUGUGAUGCUAUGCUUGAUGAGAAUGCUCAUGAAUGUUUUGAUAAGACUAAAUGCAUGCUUAACACCUAGGGUGUUACAGCCCUUCCCCCCUUAGGGAAAUCUCGUCCCGAGAUUUGGGUUACUAACCAUUUCUUAUGAAAUUUUGGAUAAACUGUUUUUAGAUAAUCCUCGAUUUCCCAGGUGGCAUCCCUAUCGUCAUGAUGACUCCACACCACCUUGUAUGUUUUAACAACUCUAUUUCAGGUUACUCGUUCCUUGGUAUCUACGAUCCCCACUGGCUGCUCUUUAUACUCCAAGUCUGCUUUUAUUUUGAUCCCUCGAGGUUCAAUUCUCUGCUCAAGUACCUUCAAACACUUCCGUAGCUGGGAUACAUGGAAAACUGGGAAGAUCGAACUCAACUCUACCGGUAACUGAAUCUUGUAGGCCACCGGGCCUUUUCUCUCCAAUAUCUGGUACGGUCCCACAUAUCUGGGUGCAAGCUUGCUUCGAACUCGGAAAUGCUAGACUUUCUUCAUUGGCGUAACCUUGAGGUACACAUAGUCACCUAUGUUGAAUUCAAGUGGCCUUCUUCUCUUAUCAGCAUAACUCUUUUGUCAUGAUUGUGCUGCUUGCAUAUGCUGCUGUAUGAUUUGCACCUUUUUCUCAGCCUCAUUCACGAAGUCGAUACCAUAGUAUCUUCUUUCACCAGGUUCAACCCAGUUUAACGGAGUUCUACAUCUUCGACCAUACAACGCUUCGAAUGGGGCCAUCUUGAUACUCUCUUGAUAACUAUUAUUGUAUGAAAACUUAGCCAAAGGUAACCAUGAUUCCCAUGAUCCCUUGGACGAUAGUACACAGGCCCUCAGCAUAUCCUCUAACACUUGAUUUAGCCUUUCAGUUUGACCCGAGGUCUGGGGAAGAUACGCCGUGCUUCUUAUCAGACUGGUCCCCAAACUCUUAUGCAUUCGCUCCCAGAAGUGAGUGGUGAACUGUGGUCCUCUAUCUGAUAUGAUGGUCUUGGGAAUACCAUGCAACAUGACAAUCUCAGCCAUAUAUAUAUCAGCAUACUCGGGAGGUCUGUAUGUGUUCUUAACUAGAAUGAAAUGAGCCGACUUGGUCAAUCGAUCUAUGAUUACCCAAAUCGAGUCAUUCCCCUUUCGUGUUGGUGGUAAACCUGUGAUAAAAUCCAUGCUGACCUCUUCCCAUUUCCACUCUGGAACUGAUAACGGUUGUAACAGACCUGCAGGUUUCAUAUGUAUAGCCUUGACUCUGCAACACGUGUCACAACGGGCCACAUACGUGGCUAUUUCUUUCUUCAUUUUGGUCCACCAAAAGUGGGGUCUUAGGUCUUGAUACAUCUUACUACUGCUAGGAUGAAUAGAGAGCUUGGAGAGAUGGGCUUCAUCCAUGAUGCGAUUCUUCAAUUCUCGAUUCUUUGGAACUACUAGCCGGUGCUGAAACCACAAUACCCCUUUCUCAUCAACUCUAAAUUGAGUUUUUGGGUCAUCUUUGAUCUUCUCCUUGAUGUGGAAAAUACCCUUGUCUGUCUUCUGACCUUCAAUGACUUGACUCUCAAGUGAACAACUGAGCUGUAUGUGACAUAAGACUUCAGGAUGCAUGAGAUUGAAACCAUCUUCAAACAACGGUUGAACCACUUGAUAGUGCGGUUUGCAACUCAAAGCGUCUGCUACCACAUUAGCCUUGCCUGGAUGAUAGUGGACUUCUAGAUCGUAAUCCUUGAUCAGCUCUAACCAUCUUCGUUGCCUCAUAUUUAGCUCGGACUGAGUGAAAAUGUAUUUCAGACUUUUAUGAUCGGUGUAGAUAUGACACUUAUUUCCCAGCAAAUAGUGCCUCUAGAUCUUCAAAGCGUGCACUACGGCUGCUAACUCGAGGUCGUGAGUUGGGUAGUUCACUUCGUGCUUUCUCAAUUGCCGUGAAGCGUAAGCUAUAACUCUGCCAUCUUGCAUCAACACACACCCCAAGCCACUUUUCGAUGCGUCACAAAACACAUCAAAAGGCUUCUCAAUAUUGGGUUGCGCUAGAACGGGAGCGGUGGUUAGCAAGUUUUGCAAGGUGUGGAAGGCUAGCUCACACCCCUCCGUCCAGACAAACUUAUGAUCCUUUUGUAGCAAACUGGUCAUCGGCUUAGCAAUCUUGGAGAAGUCAGGUAUGAAACGACGAUAAUACGCGGCCAGACCAAGAAAACUUCUAACUUCCGAGACAGAAGUUGGUGCCUUCCAGUCCAUGACUUCUUGUACUUUCGAUGGAUCCACAACAAUCCCUUCUUCAGACAGAAUGUGCCCUAGGAAAGGAACUUUCUUCAACCAGAACUCACACUUGCCGAACUUGGCAUAUAGCUGAUGGUCUCGUAGUCGUGUUAGCACGAUUCUCAGAUGUUCGGCGUGAUCUUGCUCAUUUUCUGAAUAGACCAGAAUAUCAUCGAUAAACACUACAACAAACUUAUCUAAUUCUGGCAUAAAGACCGCAUUCAUCAGAUACAUGAAGUAUGCAGGAGCAUUUGUCAACCCAAAGGACAUGACAAGAUACUCAUACAACCCAUAUCUGGUGGAAAAAGCAGUCUUCGGGAUAUCUUGCGGACGAAUCUUGAUUUGGUGAUACCCGGACCUCAAAUCUAUCUUGGAAAAUACUUUUGCCUUGGACAACUGAUCAAACAAGAUAUCAAUCCUUGGCAAUGGAUACUUAUUCUUGAUUGUCACUACAUUGAGUGGACGAUAGUCCACGCACAUGCGCAACGAUUGAUCCUUCUUUUUCACAAACAACGCCGGACAACCCCAUUCUGAUGAGCUUGGCCGGAUGAACCCUUUAUCCAGUAACUCCUUUAGUUGGUUCUUCAACUCAGUGAGUUCAUUUGGUGGCAUCCGGUACGACCUUCUAGAUAUUGGUGCGGUACCUGAUAUCAACUCAAUUGCAAACUCUACUUCCCUAUCUGGAGGAAGUCCUGGUAAUUCCUCAGGAAAAACAUCAGGGAACUGUUGGGUAUUUUAAAUGCAAACAGAAAAAUCCGCAAGCGCACGGAUACCGAUGUAGCCUUCACGGGAGUAUUCCAGAGUAUCGAUUUUCCACAGGGAACGUGAGUGUACUAAUUAAGAUUCAAGAUCGCCCAAGGAUAACUAUAUAAUUGUUUUUGGUGGGAAGAGAGGAAGUUUCCUGAGAGUUCUCUAGUUGAUCUAAGAAUCAAGAAUUACUUCAAGAUUAUCUAUAUCGGGACAUCAGAGCACUAACCACAGAAAGAGAUGAGAAGGGGGCUAGGAAGGUCUGACUACGGUCCUACAAACACCGAUCCGAACGUGGUGGAAUACGUCGACCGUUAGGGCUAUCACUACCCUAGGGCUACCACAACAAUCCGCAGGAUUGGGUGCAAUUCCAGGUAAUCGCAAGACUAAACACCACGUCUAAUCUAUUAAUUACUACUCUAGCGUUAUAAAGACUAGAGCACUUGAUGCAAGUGGGAAUCUAAUAAAUAACUUGAAUGUAAAUAAAAGUAAUUAAAGAACUCAGGAAUUAUGAAUUGAAGAACCUGGAGAACGAUGAAGAACGAACCAGAUGCUGCAAAAGUAUAAUGUUGAGGAAGAUCCGACAGAUCCGGCUCCUCCUCCGCUCUCCUCUUCUCUCUCCCUAUUUUCUAGAUUACAACUAGAACUAACUAGAACUAGAACUAGAGGAACUAGAACUAGAACUAGAUGAACUAGAACUAGAUCUAGAUGAACUAGAGGUAGAACUAGAAGAACUAGAGGGAUCCUCUCUACUUGGAUGAAGAAUUGAAACCCUUGCUUUGAUUCUGUAGAAGAGGUAUGAUCUCCAGGGGCCAGGGGGGUCUGGUUUUAUAGUCCCUUCAAGUGAAUCUGGGCCGUCAGAUCAAACCGACAUUGAUCGUGUGGUUUUCCUUGAAGUACUAGGUCGGUGGAGCAUGAUCCCCGAACUUCACCCUGAUUGGUCCAGGGGGGAGGGCGGGCGCCCUCAGGACUAGGGCGGGCGCCCUGUCCCUGAGGCCUCUCGGCUUCCGCUUCGGUCCCGUGGCUUCUGGAGUCUUCUAGAUGAUAAAAAAUUGCGCGGCACGUUAAUAUCUCUAUGUAAACCCGACGUGUGGGCCUUUCCUCCAUAUUUCCUGAUAACCCCCUGCAGAAAUAGACAAACACCAAAACUCGUGGAAUUCUGUCAGAUAAAACCCUAAGUCUAGGUGUUGGUUGCAUUUGGAUCCUUUUCUAUGAUUAAUUGAUGGUUAAAUAUGAGCAUUAAGGACCGUCAACAAGCUCCCCCAAGCUUAACCUUUGCUCGUCCCUGAGCAAAGAUGAACUCAAGAGUUUCUGCAGUGGUUUCAUAACUUAAAGAUACACAUGCGUUUAAACAAGAUCUCAUCUCUAGUUAGAGUAAACUGUUAAGACUUAAAAUUUACUCAUUUUACCUUCUACCAUGGGGCUUGCAACCGUCACUUGUGUCUUGAGUAGUUAAAAGAUAGAACAGUCUAGUCAAGUGCCAUGUCUCUUAUUCUUGAUCAGCUAUAGCUCUGAGGUUUUUGCAGAUUUUCAAAUAAAACUCAGAGAUUCCUUGUAUGACUCUCUCUAGUCUCUCAUUUGUGGUAUUUCUGGAUCCUUACCAAGGCAGUAAUGGUAUAUGCCUUCUCUCAAAGUAUGUGGUAUUUGUGGUAUAAGGCAUAGUGGCAUUGCCUUCUCUCUCACCCUACCCUUAUAAGGUUUUGAUAUCUGGAGCUCAUAGGUGGGAGACAGCUAAUACAUACUUACAAGACAUUUAUUGCAUAGUCAAACCAUGGAUCUAGAAGAACAAGUCAAUAAGUCAAAUCAAGAUGUGCAUGUGUGGUGAAUGAAUGGUGUAUGGUGAUGAUGGUGAUAACAAUGGUGAAAGUCUAAUUCUACUUUUGCUCUUUUGAAGGGAUACAUACCUUCCUUGCUCUUUUGAAACUUUUUUUUUUUUUGAGGAGAAUGAGAUGCUCUAUAUUUUCUUUUUGUUUUCUCUCAGGUGGGUAACUUGUACCCCUAAUUCUACUAUCAAACACUUGUCCAUUUUUACCUCUCGUCUCACAUUUUCUUCUUUUUUUUUCUUUCGAGGUUCCGGGCACUUGCCCCUUUUUAUUUCCUCGUAUUCUUCUUUUUUUUUUCUUUUUUUUUGGAUCACUAAUCUCAUGAGAUAAUAUAGCAAGUGGUAGUAACAAGAUAACUUGAGCAUUUAUUUCACAGGGAAAAAAUAGAAAUAUUUUUUGGCUAUUCUCUCCCGGAUUAGGAGUAGAAUAUUUUUGGGUGGUUCUGGAGAUGGAAAUGGGUAUAUGUGGAUGGUACUUCCAGAGUAGAAGUAGCAUGUAUGAGUGAACGUGCAAGUGAAUCUUGACUUAACCACAUGACAAGCUCCUAAGGGUCUACACAGCUUGACCACACUCAAUGCUCAUAAGCAGUAAAAAGUAAAUGUGUGGCUCAAAGUCUAGCAAGCAUGUAUAUAUGGCUGUGGUAGGAAUUUAAACUCUCAUCAUACAGGAACUCAUCAUGUGAUAUUUUAAAGAUUUUCAAAGAUAAAAUUCUCCAGAAUUCUAGCAUCUCUAGGAACAGAUAAACAGCAGCUCAACCUUCCCAUAUCAUAUCCGUUAACGACUUAGACUUCAGAUCAAGUACUCUUCCCACAAGUUCAGGUUUAGAGCAAAUCUUAAUUCAUAACAGUGAUGCCUAAACUUGAGAGAGAUUUCAAUUUUGAGAACUAGUCAUGGUAGAGCAACUAUUCAUCAUUUCCAUGUGAGAGCUUAUCAUGAGGGUUCAUAGCAAACUUUAUUUAUUUAUUUAUUUAGCAAACUAAGCAAAGAUAUAUAUAAGCACAGAAUCUUUAUUUUGGUUUUUAUGAUUAUGCAUCUUUUUAUUAUUUGAGUAAAAUAUAAACGUGAGUAGAACACUUAGCUGGAUAAAUGGGAGUGCUCUCCCCCAAGCUAGAUUUUAACGUAAUUCCUUGUGAUGUAGCUAGCAGGUGGUGGAGGUGUAUUUGAAUGUCAGCAGCACCCUGACAGUGAUUAGGAUGUACUCCGUCUGCCAGUCUUCUUUGAUCCUUGAAUUCUGUGAAGCUCAAAUAGACAACAAAGCUUGGUGGAACUGGUUAAGUGUUAGCAUAAAUAUCUAGCCUUUAUCAUGUUGAGCCUCCUCAAUAAAUGUUACUCUUUUUAGUAGGAUCAUAAAUCUUUUUAUAGGACAGGAAUAUAUUUAUUUUAUUUUUACGCCACCACAGUGAAUGUACUUAUGGGUUUUAUGCCAUGAGCAUACUUACAUGGAGCUUACUAUUUUUAUCGUUUUUAUUUUCUUUUCAAGAUGAUAUGAACCUGAUUAACUAAGCAAACUAUUUUAAAAUAAUUGAAAGGACAAAGAUAACUACCAAGUUUACCUCUUGGCAAGGCGUCCGGUGUGUUUAAGUCUUCCGAACGGGACUCUCCGUUUUCUCUGUUGUCCUGGGAUUCGCUGGAUGGCAUAGUCGGUGGUUCCGGCAGAGCCUGCUCUUCGUGUAUAACUAUCUUCUCUCUCCACACCUGACUCGGUGCUACGGUCUUCUCAGGACAGUUCUGUUCAAGCUGUAUGUCUUCAGACCUCACUACUUCUCCUUCGUAGUCUGUCCAUCCAUCCUUGAUAAUUUGCCUCCUCUGGUUGCGGAUGCGUUGUCUUCUUCUUGUCCUGACCUGCUUAGAGUCUUCAACUAUAUAGUUAGGGUCAGUAAAAUAGUGGCGUACCUUCUUAGAGGGGAAGUGCAUGUGGACUUCUCCGGUUUCAAUGUAGAUGAUUGCUUUAACGGUGCUGAGAAACGGUCUCCUAUGAAUGAUGGGUGGAUCGUACUUGUCUUCAACCUUUCGGAAUGUCUGAUCUGCCAUCUGGAGCUGAAUGUAUGUCGGUUUUAGGGGCAUGGUUUCGAAUAGGAGCUGAUAGGUGACUGGGUCGUCCUUUUUGGUCAGGAAUGGUGACUUAAGUUGAUGAUCUUGACCUCCAUGAACUGCAGUGACCAUCUUAGCUGACUCAGUCUACAUUUGCUUGUUCCUGUUCCUCCUGUUGGUCCUAUUCCUUGGUUUAUGUCGGGAAUGCUCUGAGAUUUGUGUAGUCUUGUUCUUGAAGGAAAACGUCUCCUUUCUCCCUUUGAUGUAGAAACUGAUCUUGGCAGCACUAGCGUAGAUGACAGCUCCCGAGGUGUUCAGGAAUGGCCUCCCUAAGAUGGGUGCCCUCUCAUCAGUACCAGUCUCUAUCACCACGAAGUUUGCUGGGGCGUAUAAGGUUCCAACUCGGACGCAGAGGUUCUUCAAUAUUCCCUUUGGGAAACUUAGUGUCUGAUCUGCAGGCUGCAAGCACACGGUUGUUUCUAGUAAAGGAUGUGUAAAGAAUUUUUUCAUAGAGUACCUUGGGCAUAAUGUUGACGCUGGAGCCAAAGUCGCAGAGUGCUUCUAGGAAGUCCACCAUGCC